CCUACGGGAGGCAGCAGUGGGGAAUAUUGCACAAUGGGGGAAACCCUGAUGCAGCGACGCCGCGUGAGUGAAGAAGUAUUUCGGUAUGUAAAGCUCUAUCAGCAGGGAAGAAAAUGACGGUACCUGAUUAAGAAGCCCCGGCUAACUACGUGCCAGCAGCCGCGGUAAGACGUAGGGGGCAAGCGUUAUCCGGAUGUACUGGGUGUAAAGGGAGCGUAGACGGCAGCACAAGUCUGGAGUGAAAUGCCGGGGCUUAACCCCGGAACUGCUUUGGAAACUGUGCAGCUAGAGUGCAGGAGAGGUAAGUGGAAUUCCUAGUGUAGCGGUGAAAUGCGUAGAGAUUAGGAGGAACACCAGGGGCGAAGGCGGCUUACUGGACUGUAACUGACGUUGAGGCUCGAAAGCGUGGGGAGCAAACAGGAUUAGAUACCCGGGUAGUC
rnacentral:rRNA from 1 species